rnacentral:rRNA from 1 species
GAGUUUGAUCGUGGCUCAGAUUGAACGCUGGCGGCAGGCCUAACACAUGCAAGUCGGGCGGUAGAGAGAAGCUUGCUUCUCUUGAGAGCGGCGGACGGGUGAGUAAUGCCUAGGAAUCUGCCUGGUAGUGGGGGAUAACGCUCGGAAACGGACGCUAAUACCGCAUACGUCCUACGGGAGAAAGCAGGGGACCUUCGGGCCUUGCGCUAUCAGAUGAGCCUAGGUCGGAUUAGCUAGUUGGUGAGGUAAUGGCUCACCAAGGCGACGAUCCGUAACUGGUCUGAGAGGAUGAUCAGUCACACUGGAACUGAGACACGGUCCAGACUCCUACGGGAGGCAGCAGUGGGGAAUAUUGGACAAUGGGCGAAAGCCUGAUCCAGCCAUGCCGCGUGUGUGAAGAAGGUCUUCGGAUUGUAAAGCACUUUAAGUUGGGAGGAAGGGCAGUAAAUUAAUACUUUGCUGUUUGACGUUACCGACAGAAUAAGCACCGGCUAACUCUGUGCCAGCAGCCG